UUUAGUUAAUGAAUUAUGAGUGACUUCCUCACGCACGCUGUUAUUGUAACUGAACCACUGAGGACCAGGAAUGGUUAUUAAAAGUGGACCCACAAUGAUUAUGAUGACAGUACAGUACUGCCACUUUUUAAAGGGCUGCACCAGCAAGUAGGCCUGAGGCAACUUCUCAACCUGUGAACAAUAGGAAGUCAGUCAAAGCUAAGAAAAGAAAAGCCAGCAAGGGAAAAGCAAGCAAGGCGAAGGG